rnacentral:rRNA from 1 species
GACGAACGCUGGCGGCGUGCUUAACACAUGCAAGUCGAACGAAGAGCGAUGGAAGCUUGCUUCUAUCAAUCUUAGUGGCGAACGGGUGAGUAACGCGUAAUCAACCUGCCCUUCAGAGGGGGACAACAGUUGGAAACGACUGCUCAUACCGCAUACGAUCUAAUCUCGGCAUCGAGGAUAGAUGAAAGGUGGCCUCUACAUGUAAGCUAUCACUGAAGGAGGGGAUUGCGUCUGAUUAGCUAGUUGGAGGGGUAACGGCCCACCAAGGCGAUGAUCAGUAGCCGGUCUGAGAGGAUGAACGGCCACAUUGGGACUGAGACACGGCCCAGACUCCUACGGGAGGCAGCAGUGGGGAAUCUUCCGCAAUGGACGAAAGUCUGACGGAGCAACGCCGCGUGAGUGAUGACGGCCGUCGGGUUGUAAAGCUCUGUUAAUCGGGACGAAAGGCCUUCUUGCGAAUAGGGAGAAGGAUUGACGGUACCGGAAGAGAAAGCCACGGCUAUCUACGUG